UACGUAGGUGGCAAGCGUUGUCCGGAUUUACUGGGCGUAAAGAGCGUGUAGGCGGCCCGGUAAGUCCGCUGUGAAAGUCGGGGGCUCAACCCUCGAAUGCCGGUGGAUACUGUCGGGCUAGAGUGCGGAAGAGGCGAGUGGAAUUCCUGGUGUAGCGGUGAAAUGCGCAGAUAUCAGGAGGAACACCGGUGGCGAAGGCGGGUCUCUGGGCCGAUACUGACGCUGGAGGAGCGAAAGCGUGGGGAGCGAACAGG
rnacentral:rRNA from 1 species